rnacentral:rRNA from 1 species
AACCUUACCAGGUCUUGACAUCCCGAUGCUAUUCUAGAGAUAGAAAGUUACUUCGGUACAUCGGUGACAGGUGGUGCAUGGUUGUCGUCAGCUCGUGUCGUGAGAUGUUGGGUUAAGUCCCGCAACGAGCGCAACCCCUAUUGUUAGUUGCCAUCAUUCAGUUGGGCACUCUAGCGAGACUGCCGGUAAUAAACCGGAGGAAGGUGGGAUGACGUCAAAUCAUCAUGCCCCUUAUGACCUGGGCUACACACGUGCUACAAUGGUUGGUACAACGAGUUGCGAGUCGGUGACGGCGAGCUAAUCUCUUAAAGCCAAUCUCAGUUCGGAUUGUAGGCUGCAACUCGCCUACAUGAAGUCGGAAUCGCUAGUAAUCGCGGAUCAGCACGCCGCGGUGAAUACGUUCCCGGGCCUU